rnacentral:rRNA from 1 species
AGAGUUUGAUCCUGGCUCAGGAUGAACGCUAGCGGCAGGCUUAACACAUGCAAGUCGAGGGGUAGAGGAAGCUUGCUUCCUUGAGACCGGCGCACGGGUGCGUAACGCGUAUGCAACCUACCUUUUACAGAGGGAUAGCCCAGAGAAAUUUGGAUUAAUACCUCAUGGUAUAUAUCAUUCGCAUGUUUGAUAUAUUAAAGUUCCAACGGUAAAAGAUGGGCAUGCGUCCUAUUAGCUAGAUGGUAAGGUAACGGCUUACCAUGGCAACGAUAGGUAGGGGUCCUGAGAGGGAGAUCCCCCACACUGGUACUGAGACACGGACCAGACUCCUACGGGAGGCAGCAGUGAGGAAUAUUGGACAAUGGGCGCAAGCCUGAUCCAGCCAUGCCGCGUGCAGGAAGAAGCAUCUAUGGUGUGUAAACUGCUUUUGUACGGGAAGAAACACUCCUUCGUGAAGGAGCUUGACGGUACCGUAAGAAUAAGGAUCGGCUAACUCCGUGCCAGCAGCCGCGGUAAUACGGAGGAUCCAAGCGUUAUCCGGAAUCAUUGGGUUUAAAGGGUCCGUAGGCGGUUUGGUAAGUCAGUGGUGAAAGCCCGCAGCUCAACUGUGGAACGGCCAUUGAUACUGCCAGACUUGAAUUACAAGGAAGUAACUAGAAUAUGUAGUGUAGCGGUGAAAUGCUUAGAUAUUACAUGGAAUACCAAUUGCGAAGGCAGGUUACUACUUGUGGAUUGACGCUGAUGGACGAAAGCGUGGGGAGCGAACAGGAUUAGAUACCCUGGUAGUCC